AGGCGGUCCACCAACAGCUGAAAGGUAGCCGGGGCGUUUUUCAUCCCAAACGGCAUGACCUUAAAUUGGUACAAGCCGAAUGGGGUGACAAAGGCCGACUUAGGGAUGGCGUCUUGUGCUAAGGGGAUUUGCCAAUACCCCUUACACAAGUCAAUAGUGGUGAGAUAGUGCCCCCUCGCCAUCCGGUCCAGUAGUUCGUCUAUCCUGGGCAUGGGAUAGGCGUCAGAUACCGUCUUCUCAU